rnacentral:rRNA from 1 species
UACGACUACAUAUCAGGCAUAUCAAUAAGCGGAGGAAAAGAAACUAACUAGGAUUCCCUUAGUAACGGCGAGUGAAGCGGGAAGAGCUCAAAUUUGAAAUCUUCAAGGUUCUACCUUGACGAAUUGUAGUUUAAAGAAGUGUUUUCUGUCGGAGUUUUGGUAAAAGUUCUUUGGAAUAGGACAUCAUAGAGGGUGAGAAUCCCGUAUUUGACCAGUUAUUUCCAGCUGUGUGAUACACUUUCAAAGAGUCGGAUUGUUUGGGAAUGCAGUCCAAAAUGGGUGGUAAAUUUCAUCUAAAGCUAAAUAUUGGCGAGAGACCGAUAGCGAACAAGUACCGUGAGGGAAAGAUGAAAAGAACUUUGAAAAGAGAGUUAAACAGUACGUGAAAUUGUCAAAAGGGAAGCAGUUUGACACCAGUGUUGUUUUCUCGAAAAUCAAUUAAAAAUGACGGAUUUUGUGUUGUAUUGACUUUAUCAGCUUUCUGCACUUUUUUCUUGUCUUUUUUAAUGCACUUUUCGUUUAACAAGUCAACAUCAAUUUCUUUUGUUGUAAAAGAGUCAUUGGAAGGUGGCUUUCACUUCGGUGAAAGUGUUUAUAGCCUUUGACUUCUGCAGUCGGAGAGACUGAGGUCUGCAGCGUAGAUCCUUCGGGGUUAGAUAGCAUUUGUGCUAAGUUAUAGCUUUUCAUAGACAACAUGUUGACUAUGAUUAAGUCAUGUAGCUUACUCGCUUAUGCUAUUUUACCUACGCUUAGGAUGUUGACGCGCGUGUGUGCGUG